CCUAAAGGCGAAAUGAAAGUGUCACUGGGUCGCCCCCUCCUUUGGGGGCGAUCCUGUCGGGAGGAUGGGCCGCCGCACGAUAUACUCGUCGGAGCCCCGCACUCCCGGGGCGUCUCGCCGCUCGUCUCGAGUGGAGACGCACCAGGAGCGCACACGCUGGUACCCGAAAGAUGGUGAACUAUGCCUGGCCAGGACGAAGCCAGGGGAAACCCUGGUGGAGGUCCGAAGCGAUUCUGACGUGCAAAUCGAUCGUCUGAGCUGGGUAUAGGGGCGAAAGACCAAUCGAACCAUCUAGUAGCUGGUUCCCUCUGAAGUUUCCCUCAGGAUAGCUGGCUCUCGGGAAGAGACGAGUCUCAUCCGGUAGAGCGAAUGAUUAGAGGUGAUGGGGUCGAAACGACUUCAACCUAUUCUCAAACUCCCAAUAGAUGAGAGCCCCGGCUUGCUUAAAAGUGAAGCCGCGGGAAUCGGAUCAGAGAUGCCAAGUGGGCCAAUUUUGGUAAGCAGAACUG
rnacentral:rRNA from 1 species